GCGUAAUGGGGUAGCUCAGCUGGCAGAGCAUGAGAUUCUUCAUCUCAGGGUCUUGAGUUCAAGCCCCACGUUGGGCA